rnacentral:rRNA from 1 species
AUGGGGAUGGCGCAUGUCGCCGUCCUGGCGGCGGUGCUGGCCAUGGCGGCAACGGCGAGCGCCUCGCCGGAGGCGGGGGUCCAGCCGCUGUCCAAGAUCGCCAUCCACAAGGCCACCGUCGAGCUGCACGGCUCCGCGUACGUGCGCGCGAGUGCGCUGCUGCUCGGCGACGGCGACCAGCAGGAAGGAGACACUGCAACGGUCACUGUGGAAUACGGCUGGCAAAACCCCGCCACCGACGACUGGAUCGCCGUCUUCUCCCCCUCCGAUUUCAUCUCGGGCUCGUGCCCUAACCCACGGAGGUACCCCACCGAGCCGCUGCUCUGCACGGCGCCUAUCAAGUAUCAGUACGCCAACUUCUCGGCGAACUACCUCUACUGGGGCAAGGGCACCAUCCAGUUCCAGCUCAUCAACCAGCGCUCCGACUUCUCCUUCGCCCUCUUCACCGGCGGCCUCGAAAACCCGAAGCUGGUGGGGUUGACGAAGCUGUCGCCGUUCAAGAACCCCAAGGCGCCGGUGUUCCCGCGGCUGGCGCAGGGCAAGACCCACGACGAGAUGGCCGUGACCUGGACCAGCGGCUACGACGUCGGCGACGCCUACCCUUUCGUGGAGUGGGGCAUGGUCACCUCCGGCACCGGCGCCGGGAACCCCACCCGCUCCCCCGCCGGCACGCUAACCUUCAACCGCGGCAGCAUGUGCGGCGCGCCGGCGCGGACGAUCGGGUGGAGGGACCCGGGGUUCAUCCACACGGCGUUCAUGCGGGGCCUGUGGCCCAACAAGGAGUACUUCUACAAGAUCGGGCACGAGCUCCCCGACGGGACGGUGGUGUGGGGCAAGCCCUACACCUUCCGGGCGCCGCCGACGCCGGGGCAGAGCUCGCUGCAGCGCGUCAUCGUCUUCGGCGACAUGGGGAAGGCGGAGAGGGACGGGUCGAACGAGUACGCCAACUACCAGCCGGGGUCGCUCAACACGACGGACGCGCUGGUUAGAGACCUGGACAACUUCGACAUGGUCUUCCACAUCGGCGACCUGCCCUACGCCAACGGCUACAUCUCGCAGUGGGACCAGUUCACCGCGCAGGUCGCCCCCAUCAGCGCCCGGAAGCCCUACAUGAUCGCCAGCGGCAACCACGAGCGGGACUGGCCCGACACCGGCGGCUUCUUCGACGUCGAGGACUCCGGCGGCGAGUGCGGCGUGCUCGCCGAGACCAUGUACUACUACCCGGCCGAGAACCGAGCAAACUUCUGGUACAAGGUGGACUACGGGAUGUUCCGGUUCUGCGUGGCGGACUCGGAGCACGACUGGCGGGAGGGGACGCCGCAGCACAAGUUCAUUGAGGAGUGCCUCUCCACGGUGGACCGGAAGCACCAGCCAUGGCUCAUCUUCACGGCGCACCGUGUGCUCGGAUACUCCUCCAACAAGUGGUACGCUGAGCAGGGCUCCUUCGAGGAGCCCGAGGGGCGGGAGAGCCUGCAGAAGCUGUGGCAGCGGCACCGCGUCGACCUUGCCAUCUUCGGCCACGUGCACAACUACGAGCGCACCUGCCCGCUCUACCAGAACCAGUGCGUCACCGGCGAGCGGAGCCGCUACUCGGGCACCAUGAACGGGACCAUCUUCGUGGUGGCGGGCGGCGGCGGCAGCCACCUCAACGGCUACACCAGCGCCGUCCCCAAGUGGAGCGUGUUCAGGGAUAGAGACUACGGCUUCACCAAGCUCACGGCCUUCAACCACUCCUCGCUUCUGUUUGAGUACAAGAGGAGCAGUGAUGGCAAGGUGUAUGACAACUUCACCAUCCACAGGGACUACCGCGACGUGCUCGGCUGCGUGCACGACAGUUGCUUCCCCACCACCCUUGCUACCUGA